ensembl:lncRNA
CUAGAGUGAGACAGCUCAACUGCCAGAGUGAGAGGAGCAAAAAAAUUAAUCUUAAAAUCUUUUUUAAAACUGCUGCUGUGUCCGCAGCGUUUGCUCUACAGGUAUGAUUUUACCCUCAAAACGUAGCCAUCGCUGUCCUCUUUGAUCCAAUGUGUUUACUAUUGUCCUAGGUGUUAUGGUUCUUUCAUAAAUGUCACCAAAGCACAGACUCCUCCCUCCAACUCCUCCAUAGACUCCAAUGUUAAAAUGGCUCAGAAAGUUCCUUUGAAAAUCAGAAGAGCAGGCUGUCUUUACACUGUCACCACGUCCAUAUAAUAAACUCC